rnacentral:rRNA from 1 species
UGAAUACGAGACGCUACGGCGUCGAAGCAGUCUAUGUCAUACUUCCAAGAAAAGCUCGCAAUGUCAUAAACAAAUAAUGCCUGUACCAUAACCGACACAGGUGGGUAGGUAGAGUAUACUAAGGGGCGCGAGAUAACUCUCUCUAAGGAACUCGGCAAAAUGACUCCGUAACUUCGGGAGAAGGAGUGCCUUAUUUAUAAGGUUGCAAUAACAAGAUCCAAGCAACUGUUUAUCAAAAACACAGGUCUCCGCUAAGUCGUAAGACGAUGUAUGGGGGCUGACGCCUGCCCAGUGCAGAAGGUUAAAGAAGUUGGUUAGCAUUCGCGAAGCUGAUAACUGAAGCCCUGGUGAACGGCGGCCGUAACGAUAACGGUCCUAAGGUAGCGAAAUUCCUUGUCGGGUAAGUUCCGACCCGCACGAAAGGCGUAAUGAUUUGGAUACUGUCUCGGAGAGGGGCUCGGUGAAAUAGACUUGUCUGUGAAGAUGCGGACUACCUGCACCUGGACAGAAAGACCCUAUGAAGCUUUACUGUAACUUGAAAUUGAAAUUGGACUUUAUUUGCGCAGCAUAGGUGGGAGGCGUUGAGAGUAUUCUUGCGGGAAUAUUGGAGCCAUCAGUGAGAUACCACUCUUGUAAUGUUAGAUUUCUAACUUUGUAUCAUUAUCUGGUCAAAGAACAGUUUCAGGCGGGCAGUUUGACUGGGGCGGUCGCCUCCCAAACGGUAACGGAGGCGUACAAAGGUUUCCUCUGAACGGGUAGAAAUCGUAUCUAGAGUGUAAAGGCAUAAGGAAGCUUGACUGUGAGACCUACAAGUCGAGCAGGGACGAAAGUCGGUCUUAGUGAUCUGACGGUGCUGAGUGGAAAGGCCGUCACUCAACGGAUAAAAGUUACUCUAGGAUAACAGGCUGAUCUCCCCCAAGAGUUCACAUCGACGGGGAGGUUUGGCACCUCGAUGUCGGCUCAUCGCAUCCUGGGGCGGUAGUACGUCCCAAGGGUUGGGCUGUUCGCCCAUGAAAGCGGUACGCGAGCUGGGUUCAGAACGUCGUGAGACAGUUCGGUCCAUAUCCGGUGUAGGCGUUAGAAUAUUGAGAGGAGCCUUCUUUAGUACGAGAGGACCGAGAAGGACAUACCUCUGGUGUACCAGUUAUCGUGCCAACGGUAAACGCUGGGUAGCUAUGUAUGGAGAGGAUAACCGCUGAAAGCAUCUAAGUGGGAAGCCCACCUCAAGAUAAGUAUUCUCAUC